rnacentral:rRNA from 1 species
AGCAGCCGCGGUAAUACAGAGGGUGCGAGCGUUAAUCGGAUUUACUGGGCGUAAAGCGUGCGUAGGCGGCUUUUUAAGUCGGAUGUGAAAUCCCCGAGCUUAACUUGGGAAUUGCAUUCGAUACUGGGAAGCUAGAGUAUGGGAGAGGAUGGUAGAAUUCCAGGUGUAGCGGUGAAAUGCGUAGAGAUCUGGAGGAAUACCGAUGGCGAAGGCAGCCAUCUGGCCUAAUACUGACGCUGAGGUACGAAAGCAUGGGGAGCAAACAGGAUUAGAUACCCUGGUAGUCCAUGCCGUAAACGAUGUCUACUAGCCGUUGGGGCCUUUGAGGCUUUAGUGGCGCAGCUAACGCGAUAAGUAGACCGCCUGGGGAGUACGGUCGCAAGACUAAAACUCAAAGGAAUUGACG